rnacentral:lncRNA from 1 species
CUUCAAGCAGAAGGAUAAGGAUACCAGAUGGAAAUAUAGAUCUACACAAAGGAAUGAACAGUGCUAGAAAAGAGAAUCAGAGACUCUUGUAAGAAUUCCCACCUGCAACCAGUACUUGCAUCCGGAGGCAGAGGUAGAGCGAGAUGAGGCUGCCAUGAUAGCUGGAGAGACUUGCUGCCUCCUCAGGCUCCCGGCUCCACCUACCUUCUACAUGCUGAUGACUCACUCCAAAGUGUACAUCUUCUGUCCAUAAUUUCUGGGGAUCCAGUGGCGGCAACCUGCUUCUAGAGGGACCAGGAGCUUCGGGACCCCUCUGCCUUGGACCAACAGGAAAAGCAGGAAAGUCAGGGGCCAGAGAAACAUGUGAAAUGACACCAAGGAGAUGGAUGCAACUAACCAAAUCCAGAAUAUGGGCAAGAAGACCAGGCAAGGAUCCGGUUUCCUCAAUAAACCAACUGAAAAGAAAACAAAAAGGGCAGUGAUAUAGAUUAAAAGAAAUUUAAGAGACGUAUCAAACAAAUUCUUUGCUA